UCCUACGGGAGGCAGCAGUGGGGAAUCUUAGACAAUGGGGGCAACCCUGAUCUAGCCAUGCCGCGUGAGUGAUGAAGGCCUUAGGGUUGUAAAGCUCUUUCAGCUGGGAAGAUAAUGACGGUACCAGCAGAAGAAGCCCCGGCUAACUCCGUGCCAGCAGCCGCGGUAAUACGGAGGGGGCUAGCGUUGUUCGGAAUUACUGGGCGUAAAGCGCACGUAGGCGGACUGGAAAGUUGGGGGUGAAAUCCCGGGGCUCAACCUCGGAACUGCCUUCAAAACUAUCAGUCUGGAGUUCGAGAGAGGUGAGUGGAAUUCCGAGUGUAGAGGUGAAAUUCGUAGAUAUUCGGAGGAACACCAGUGGCGAAGGCGGCUCACUGGCUCGAUACUGACGCUGAGGUGCGAAAGCGUGGGGAGCAA
rnacentral:rRNA from 1 species